UGCGUCUUAGUGAAAAGGUAUCACAUUGGGUUCAUGCCCCAAAAUUCCGGUUCGACUCCGAGGGACGCGACCA
rnacentral:tRNA from 1 species